rnacentral:rRNA from 1 species
GAUGAACGCUGGCGGCGUGCCUAAUACAUGCAAGUCGAGCGAACGGACGAGAAGCUUGCUUUUCUGAUGUUAGCGGCGGACGGGUGAUUAACACGUGGAUAACCUACCUAUAAGACUGGGAUAACUUCGGGAAACCGGAGCUAAUACCGGAUAAUAUUUUGAACCGCAUGGUUCAACAGUGAAAGACGUUCUUGCUGUCACUUAUAGAUGGAUCCGCGCUGCAUUAGCUAGUUGGUAAGGUAACGGCUUACCAAGGCAACGAUGCAUAGCCGACCUGAGAGGGUGAUCAGCCACACUGGAACUGAGACACGGUCCAGACUCCUACGGGAGGCAGAAGUAGGGAAUAUUCCGCAAUGGGCGAAAGCCUGACGGAGCAACGCCGCGUGAGUGAUGAAGGUCUUCGGAUCGUAAAACUCUGUUAUUAGGGAAGAACAUAUGUGUAAGUAACUGUGCACAUCUUGACGGUACCUAAUCAGAAAGCAACGGCUAACUACGUG